rnacentral:rRNA from 1 species
GCUAAGCCAUUAACAUUGAUAGUUAAAUUACAAUACUAUCCGCCAGAGAACUACGAGUGAAAAACUUAAAACUCAAAGGACUUGGCGGUGUCCCAUAUCAAACUAGAGGAGCCUGUCCUAUAAUCGAUACUCCCCGCUCCACCCAACCUUAACUAGCACUACCAGCCUAUAUACCGCCGUCGACAGCCUACCCCAUGAGGGCUCAAUAGUAGGCAUAAUAGUAAUUUUUACUAAUACGUCAGGUCAAGGUGUAGCUCAUGUUAAGGAAGAGAUUGGCUACAUUUUUAAAUCUUAAACAUACGGAAUGCACUAUGAAAUCCUGCAUAAAGGCGAAUUUAGCAGUAAAAAAGACAAGAGUGUCUUCUUAAACCCUGCUCUGGGACGCGCACACACCGCCCGUCACCCUCCUCGACACACAAACUUAAACUAAAUAAACAGUCUUAGAACAUCAGAGGAGGC